rnacentral:rRNA from 1 species
CGGUAAUUCCAGCUCCAAUAGCGUAUACUAAAGUUGUUGCAGUUAAAAAGCUCGUAGUUGGAUUUCUGCGGGGACGGAGCGGCCGGUCGCAACUUGCGACUCGAGCUAGCGCUUUCCCCGCAUCCUGCCGCGAACCGUGCUACCAUUAGUUUGGUGGCGCUGGGGAUCGGCUCGAUUACUUUGAGAAAAAUAGAGUGUUCAAAGCAGGCCACACGCCUUGAAUAAGUUAGCAUGGAAUAAUGACUAAGGACUUUGGUUCUUUUCGUUGGUGUUCGGGACUGAAGUAAUGAUUGAUAGGGACAGUUGGGGCGGUCCGUAUUCCAAAGCGAGAGGUGAAAUUCUUAGACCUUCGGAAGACGAACAGCUGCGAAAGCGUUCCGUAAGGAUGUUCCCUUUGAUCAAGAACGAAAGUUGGGGGAUCGAAGACGAUCAGAUAUUGUCGUAGUCUCAACUAUAAACUAUACCAGCUAGGGAUCGGCCAACGUUUAAUUAUUCGACUUGGUCGGCACCUUAUGAGAAAUCAAAGCAUCUGGGUUCCGGGGGGAGUAUGGUCGCAAGGCUGAAACUUAAAGGAAUUGACGGAAGGGCACCACCAGCCGUGGAGCCUGUGGCUUAAUUUGACUCAACACGGGAAAACUUACCAGGUCCGGACAUAGUAAGGAUUGACAGAUUGAUAGCUCUUUCUUGAUUCUGUGGGUGGUGGUGCAUGGCCGUUUUUAGUCGGUGGAUGUGAUCUGUUUGCUUAAUUGCGUUAACGGACGAGACCCCAGCCUGCUAAAUAGCGCGGCCGAGCUUUGCUCGGUGCGAGCUUCUUAGAGGGACCAUGAUGCGCGAUAGCACAAGGAAGUUUGGGGCAACAACAGGUCUGUGAUGCCCUUAGAUGUUCUGGGCCGCACACGGGCUACACUGGCGCCUGCAACGAGCAUAUCAGCUGGCCCGAGAGGGUCUUGGCUAAUCUUUGGAACCGGCGCCGUGCUUGGGAUUGACCAUUGCAAUUGUUGGUCAUGCAACGAGGAAUGCCUUGUAAACGCGAGUCAUCAGCUCGCAUUGAAUACGUCCCUGCUCUUUGUACACACCGCCC